GUAGACCCCUACACCCCUUUGGGAAUAAUGGGUGUGACAUUGGAAGGUCCACAGAGGUUUGUUUUUGGUUUUUUGUUUUGUUUUGUUUUUAUUUUUUAGAAAAAAAAAAAAAGAUAAAAAAAAUAAUGAAAAAAAAAGUUAGGCUGAAAGGAAAAAAAAAAUCACACUGUUAUUUUUGGCCAGUGGGUACCAGGCCCCAUGGACCUGUCCUGCCUGGCUUCCCUGAGGCUGCACUUACCCUGCUGCCCCAGAAGGUGGGUCAUUGGGGUGACUUGUCAGCUGGGUGCUGGCAGUUUGCACAGCGAGCGAGCGGAGGCCCUCUCCAGAAGCCCCGCCCACUGGACCUGCUGUGAUCAGCUCCUGUGGCCGUUACUGUGGCAGGUGUCCUGGUAAGGGGCCAGAGUCGCCCCUUACCUCAGCUGCUUUGGGAGGAACGUUGCACAAAUUGGAUGAGCUGCCUCAGCUCCCUCUCCCCACACCCCCGAAACAGCCCUCCCACACUGGCUGAGGGAGCUGGGGAAAGCCCUGUCAGUGCCAGCCUGUCAGCUGGGCUCUGAACUCAGGCCUGCUGAGGGGCUGACCCCCACUGCUGCCAUUUCGGGGGACAGCCUGGGUGUGACACUGAAAGCCCCAGCUCCCUGCCUUUGCCACAUGAAUGUAUUUUCUGGCCCCCAAGCCCGUCUCACCCCCUCUGAGAAGGGACUCAGCCCUUCCUCCAGGAGCUGGAGAACACCCCUCCUUUUAUCAUGGCCGAGGCCUUGCUUGUGAGGGAAGGACACCGAAGGAGUGGCUUGGGGCGGAACCUAGGGGGGCCCCGUGGUGAGAACCCCCUGAUCAGCAGCCAGCUGUGUGGGAAGCAGACCACAGCUCCGUACCUGACCCCUCCAUUGACCAAAUGGGAGAGGAGUGAGCAGCCCCUCUCCUUGAUGUUUUUUGUGUUGGGUGUAAGGCUGGAGGUCGAGAGCGCCUGUGUCCUGGCUGGGGGCUGCCUUGCCUGUUGCUCGCCGACCUCACUCCUAGCCCUCCCGCCCUGCCCAUGCUUGUCUUCAUUGUUGUUUGCCCCCCCCCCCCCCUUUCUUUUUAAUAUACUGUGUUAGUGACUCUCCCAUCGACCUCAUUGCUCAGAAUGCAGUAUUAGGGCUAGCGAGCGAGCCUGCCACUGCCUCCUCCAUGAAUGUAUUUCUAGUUUCUGUCCUGGGGAAGUAGGGAGUGGCCCCAGGUUCUUCUUUCCCAUCCAUCCCCACAGAGGUGACCUUUUGUUUUCCUUUCCACUUUUUUUUUUUCUUUUUUUUCUUUUUUUUUUUUUUUGCACCAAAGUGGCAACUGGGUCAGUGUUGGGGAUCAGGCUGGCUUUGGGUGGAAGGGCCCCUCCACCUGCUUCUCCCUGGUUUUGACAGUGUUAGCGUCUGUGAAAAGACAAUAUUCUCUCUAAAGCAAUAAGGGGGUGAUGGGCCAGGGGGAAACGUCUUGCUGCUGCUGGCCCCCCAGCUCCCUUUCCCUCUUGCCAUUGUGGUGGCAUUGGAGGGAUGGGAGAGACUCCUGUUGUGACUGAAUGUAACCUACCCUGCCCCUGCCACAGCCAAUGCAGGGGGAGGGAGGGCACUUGUCUCUUCCUACCCCUCCCCCCAGCUAAAGAGACUGAACUUGGGGGCCCAUGAGCCUGGAGAGGCCUUAACCCUGUGAGGAAGUGUGGGGCCUCUCCCACCCCAUCCCCUCUGAGAGUGGCCAAUGUUUACAAGCCCUGAGCCCCAGCCCAGGGACUCAGACCCCCCCCCCCCAUCUUAAUCCUUUCCCCAUCCCAGUCUUACAGGGCCCCACUGCCCCACCCUACCCCCUUGGGGUUCAGGGUAGUGUGGGUGUCCUGUGUAUCCCAGUUUACCCUACCUCUACCCUGUGUGACUUCCCUAAUACCCACUCUUGUAAAUACUCCCAAUAAAACUUGGUGUGUUCUCCCAGUC
rnacentral:lncRNA from 1 species